rnacentral:rRNA from 1 species
UACAGAGGUCCCAAGCGUUGUUCGGAUUCACUGGGCGUAAAGGGUGCGUAGGCGGUCGGGUAAGUCUGACGUGAAAUCUUCAAGCUUAACUUGGAAACUGCGUCGGAUACUAUUCGGCUAGAGGAAUGGAGGGGAGACUGGAAUACUUGCUGUAGCAGUGAAAUGCGUAGAUAUCAAGUGGAACACCAGUGGCGAAGGCGAGUCUCUGGACAUUUCCUGACGCUGAGGCACGAAAGCCAGGGGAGCAAACGGG